rnacentral:tRNA from 1 species
AGCUAUUCACUUAUGAAGUUAUAUAUUUUGAAAAUAUAAAAAAAUGGUUAAAUUCCAUUAAUAGCUU